UGAGUGCAUAUGGUCCUGGCAGUGAGAGGAAUGAAGAGGAGAGAGUGACCUUCUGGAACGACUUGGAUGAGUGUUUGCAAGGAUUUGGAGCAAAUGUGAAUGUAGUGCUGAUGGGAGAUCUGAAUGCUAGAGUGGGUGAUGAGAAAAUUGAGGGUGUUGUUGGCGGGCAUGGUGUUCCUGGAAAGAAUGAUAAUGGUGAGAGACUGAUAGGAAUGUGCACUGAAAGAGAGAUGAUGAUUGGGAAUACAUGGUUCAGAAAGAAAGAGAUCCAUAAGUAUACGUGGGUGAGGCAGAAUGGUGGAAGAGUGAUUGACAAAGCACUGAUGGAUUAUGUGGUGGUUUCAAAGGUUGCAUGUAGUAGAUUGCUGGAUGUAAGUGUGAGGAGGGGAGAGAGUGGAGGUAUGUCUGAUCACUAUUUGGUGGAAGGAAGGUUGCGUGUGGUUAUGCCAUGGGUGAGAUCGAGAAAGAGUGGGGAGGCAAGAGAAGUUCUGAGAGUGAGUGUUUUGAAGAACAGAGAGAAAAUAUGUGAGUAUCAGAAGGAAUUAGGUGGCAAGUGGAAUAUGGUGAAGGAGCAAAUGGUUGUUGGAGUGGAGGAAGAAUGGCAACAGUUCAAGAGUGCAGUGGUUGGAAGUGCAGAGGAAGUGUGUGGUGUGAGACGUGUUGGGGGUGGUCUAAGAAAGGGAAGUGAAUGGUGGUGCGAGGAUGUAAGGUUGGCUGUAGCUGAUAAGAGAUGUGCGUACGAAGUAUAGCUGCAGAGAAAGGACAGGGAGUCAUAUGAGUGUUAUAAGGAGUAGAAAAGGGAUGCUAAGAGAGCUGUGCGUGAGGCAAGAGCGGCUGCAGACGAAAGGUGGGGCAGACAGUUGACUGAUAAUUUUCGAGAGAACAAGAAAAAGUGUCGGGGAGGGAGGACAAAGUAAAAACAGAGGAUGGAAGGAUGUUGAAUGAGGGGAAUGCAGUAAGAAAAAGAUGGGCAGAGUAUUUCGAGAGGCUGCUGAAUGUGGAGGAAGAUCGGGAUGCUGUGAUUGGGAUGGAUGGAAGGGAAAGUAGACUGAAUGUAUUGGGAGAGUUGAAUGAAGCAUUGAUUACCGGAGAGGAAGUUGAGCAAGCUGUGGGAAAGUUGAAAGUAGGAAAGGCAGCAGGUGUGGAUGGGUGUGCUGUGGAAUGCCUGAAGUGUGGUGGAGCGAUCGUGAUUGAGUGGUUAGUGAGAUUGUUGAAUGUGUGUUGUGUAAGUGGGCAGGUGCCGCUUGAUUGGAUGAGUGCGUGUGUGGUUCCCCUGUACAAGGGUAAGGGUGAUAAGUAUGAAUGUGGUAGUUUAAGGGGUAUUAGUCUGUUGAGUGUUGUAGGCAAAGUGUAUGGGAGAGUGCUGAUUAAUAGGGUAGUGGAGGGGACUGAGUGUAUGAUUGGUGAAGAGCAGUGUGGUUUCAGGAGAGGUAGAGGGUGUGUGGAUCAGGUGUUUGAUGUGAGACAGGUGUGUGAAAAGUUUUUGGCUAAGGGGAGGGAGGUGUUUUGGGCAUUCAUGGAUUUAGAGAAGGCGUAUGAUAGGAUUGAUAGCGAGGCGUUGUGUUGAGUAUGUAUGGUAUUGAUGGUAGAUUGUUGGAAGGUGUGAAGAGUUUUUAUAGAAACAGUAGAGCGUGUGUGAGAGUAGGAAAUACCAUGAGUGAGUGGUUUCCUGUGAGGGUUGGUCUGCGUCAGGGAUGCGUGAUGUCUCCGUGGUUGUUUAACGUGUAUAUGGAUGGUGUGGUAAAA